rnacentral:rRNA from 1 species
UCCCAGAGAUGGCUUGGUGCUCGAAAGAGAGCCGUAACACAAGUGCUGCAUGGCUGUCGUCAGCUCGUGUCGUGAGAUGUUGGGUUAAGUCCCGCAACGAGCGCAACCCUUGUCAUUAAUUGCCAUCAUUUAGUUGGGCACUUUAAUGAGACUGCCGGUGACAAACCGGAGGAAGGUGGGGAUGACGUCAAGUCCUCAUGGCCCUUAUGGGUAGGGCUUCACACGUAAUACAAUGGUCGGUACAGAGGGUAGCCAACCCGCGAGGGGGAGCCAAUCCCAGAAAACCGAUCGUAGUCCGGAUUGCAGUCUGCAACUCGACUGCAUGAAGUCGGAAUCGCUAGUAAUCGCGGAUCAGCAUGUCGCGGUGAAUACGUUCCCGGGCCUUGUACACACCGCCCGUCACACCAUGGGAGUGGGUUCCACCAGAAGUAGUUAGCCUAACCGCAAGGAGGGCGAUUACCACGGUGAGAUUCAUGACUGGGGUGAAGUCGUAACAAGGUAGCCG